UACGGAGGAUGCGAGCGUUGUUCGGAAUCACUGGGCUUAAAGGGCGUGUAGGCGGAGUGUCAGGUGCCUUGUGAAAUCCCGCGGCUUAACCGCGGAAUGGCUUGGCAAACCGGCAUUCUUGAGGCAGGUAGGGGCGACUGGAACCUUUGGUGGAGAGGUGAAAUUCGUAGAUAUCAAAGGGAACGCCGAUGGCGAAAGCGAGUCGCUGGGCCUGUCCUGACGCUGAGGCGCGAAAGCGUAGGGAGCGAACGGGAUUAGAUACCCCGGUAGUCUACGCCGUAAACGAUGCGCACUAGGCAUGAGGGCUUCUGACGGUUCUUGUGCCGAAACAAAAGCGUUAAGUGCGCCGCCUGGGGAGUACGGCCGCAAGGCUAAA
rnacentral:rRNA from 1 species